rnacentral:rRNA from 1 species
UACAGAGGGUGCGAGCGUUAAUCGGAAUUACUGGGCGUAAAGCGCACGUAGUCGGCUUUGCAAGUCGGUUGUGAAAUCCCCGGGCUCAACCUGGGAACUGCAUCCGAGACUGCAUUGCUAGAGUAUGGGAGAGGGAAGCGGAAUUUCUGGUGUAGCAGUGAAAUGCGUAGAUAUCAGAAGGAACAUCAGUGGCGAAGGCGGCUUCCUGGACCAAUACUGACGA